ACCGAGGGACCAACUUGUUGACACCGCUCACGUUGAACCUCCAUUUAACGAAUAUACCGUUCUCACGUUCAGAGUUACCUCUGGAUACCACGUGAUGAAAUCGACAGAAGAGCAUGUUCUGUUCGGAUUGAUUGUAUUUGGAAUGACUUCCUCCGCUGCAUAUGGAUUUCCUGCUGGAAUAAACUUCGAUUUUUCAUCAAACGAACAGCGCAUGUGCUACAGCUGUGAUGACAUGUCAGACCUGAAAUUGUGUGACACGGUACAAAAAUGUCUACCUACAAAGAUAUGUAUGGUGCAGCAUGGGAAUUCAAAGUACAGUUCCGGAUGUGCUAGUUUUAUGGAAUGAAAACAACAUCUACAUAAUGCACAAUCAUCACAUGAACAUUGUACAGAAUGCUGCCACAAUGACUAUUGCAAAGGUCGUGGGUGCGGCGAUAACGGUUUACCUCCAAGAAGUGAAAGGGGACCUAUUUGUUUUGACUGCAGCCAUGUUUCCACCGUUGCUCAGUGCAAAACAGUGCGACCAUGUUAUAAAGGCGAGUUGUGCAGUAUUGAAGAGUUCGAUUGGCUGGGACAAUCCCAUUUUAAAUUAGGCUGCGUGACUGCAACGUGUAGUUCUCUUGAACAUGGUCGUUCCGUACCAAGAUGCAAGUCCUGUUGCAGUGAAGACUUCUGUAACACCAACUGCACGAUGGGACAUUCGGCUGCAAUCAUAGAUUAAGAAGCGGAGGAAAGGCUAACGCAGGCAAAUGCUGGUAGACCAGUUUUCGAUUUGUUUAAUGUAUGAAAAUAUUUAUAAUUACUUGGUAAUUAUUUGGUGUGCUUCGUAAAUGAUAUUCCUUGCAAAUAAAACAUUUCUUGAUUCUU